GGCUGCCUUCCUGCGGCCGGGGCGGCGUGUCACAGUUUGUGCCUGCCUUACGGGUUGCUGAGCCGCGCCCGGCCCUUUCCCGUUAGAUCCCGCCGGGUUGCCAGUAAGAUAACGGAAGCAACUAGCAAGAACGCGAUUAAAUUAAAUUAAAGGAAGAAUGUUUUCCACUGCGAGGGUGGUGAGGUACUGGCGCGUCCUGAAGUUCUGGAUACCUCAUCCCUGGCAGUGUUCAAGGACUAGGUUAGAUGGAGCUUUGAGCAAUGUGGUCCAGUGGAAGGUGUCCCCGCCGGUGGCAGGGGGGUUGGAACUGGAUGAUCUCUAAGGCCCCUUCCGACCCAAACCAGUCUGUGAUUCUGAAUAAAUGCCAACAUUAAUUUGUUCUGUGCUCACACACUGCCGGUGUUCAGAGCAGUGGUCCUCUCUGCAUAGCGUUCACAAGAAAUCGAGAAAAGGCAGCUGUUCCCUGGUGGAUAACCCCUUCGGAUUCAGAGUUUCUGUCCUGGACACUGCCAUUACACUGUGCUGGUACCACAGAGAAAUUUGGCUCUCAGAGUUUGUGUUGGUUGCUGAAAGGAGUGGCUGCCAAGCUGACAGGAGAGCAGGACCCUGGUGUGGCAAGAGGAAGCACAGCUUAUUUUGGAUAUCAUUGCAGAAAAUCUGCAAAAAAGUGACACUGCUGAUUCAUUUUGCUUGUCCUGUGUUGGAGGCCUGUUCUUCUGCAUCAAGCCUACCCUACCCACCCAGCCUGGCCACUGCAUGCCCACCUUGCUGUCGUCACAGCUGGUAUGCUGCCUUGUGAAAAAGAAGGACUCACAGUCUUCAUCACUGUCACAGAAAUAGACUGUUAACUUUUUGGUUCCAAGCAGCACGCUGGAAUUGCAGCAAAAUCUGUCAGUCAUGGGAAAUUACAUGAAUGAUUCUGUGGAGGCUAAACCAAGAUUGCUGAACUCAUUUUCAUGCAUGGCUAACUGCAGAAUUGAACCUCAUGCUCCAGAAGUGAAAGGGGGAUGACUCCUCACACAGAGUCUUCUGCUCCAGCAUGGGGUCCCUUCCAUGGGAGACAGCUGUCCAUGAACUUCUCCAAUGUUAGUCCUUCAGUUGCAGUUCUUCAUGGACUGCUCCAGAGUGGAUCCCUUUCCACAGGGUGCAGUCCUUCAGGAACAGGCUGCUCCAGCAUUAGCCCCCCACAGGGUCACAAGUCCUGCCAGCAAACCUGCUCCAGUGAGGGCUCCUCUCUCCUUGGGGUCAGAGAUCCUGCCAGGAGCUUGCUCCAGCACGGGGCUCUCAUGGAGUCACAGCACCCUUCAGUCAUCCACCUCCUUUAGUGUGGGGUCCUCCACAGGCUGCAGAUGGAUCUCUGCUCCCACAUGGACCUCCAUGGGCUGCAGAGGCACAGCUGCCUCCCCAUGGGCUGCAGUGGAAUCUCAGCUCUGGCACCUGGAGCACCUUCUCACCCUCCUUCUUCACUGACCUUGGUGUCUGCAGAGUUGUUUCGCUCACAUAUUUUCACUCUUCUCUGUGGCUGCAGUUGUGCAGGGGUUUUUGUUUCCCCUUCUUAGAUGCAUGACCCCCACUGCUGAUGGGCUCAGCCUUGGCCAGCAGUGGCUCCAUCCUGGGUCUGGCUGGGCACUGGCACCAUUGGACACAGGGGAUGCUUCUGGCAACUUCUCACAGAAGCCACCCUGUAGCCCCCCCCUCACUUUUACCAAAACCUUUCCAUGCAAAUCCAACACAGAAGAAAUCAAGGAGAUUGUCCUUCCCUAGACCUUUUUGGGUAUUCAAGGAACUUGGCAGAGAAUGUCUCUGAAAUAUCUGGAAGGGGUAAUGGUACAAAAGGCAGAUGAAUGCAGAUGAGCCUCCAGGAUCUGAAGGAUUUACCCAUGAAUUCUAAGAGAACUCAGAAAUGAAAUAGCAGCAUGUAACCUGUUUCUUCACUAUUCCUCAGCACAUGAAGAUCAGAAGGUGUCAAAUGUGAUGUCAGUCAUUAAGAAAAUUCCAAGGAUAUCCAGCAACUUAAAAUUGAGAUCUGUUUAAGGUGAAUGGCUAGAUAUUGUAAGAAUUAUUAUCAUCUACCUCAGUAAAUACUAUCUAAUCAGCGAAAGUUAAUAAAGCUCUCAGAGUUCUUCAAAGGGGUCAGUGAUUUAUAAAUGAGGAUCAUCUAAUAUAGUCAACUUGGAUUUUCAGAUGAUUUCUAACAGAACUUUUAAUCAAAAUGUUUUAGGAAAACCAAGCAACACAAGAGUGUCUUAUGCUGGCAUAAGAAGGAAGGCACUGAAGUGGAUGAGAAUGUGAUUUAGAAGAUGGGAACAUAAGGACAAGACAUACCAGAAAUGAAAUUAUUCAGGGAUGACAAGGAUGAUCAGAGGUAUACUGCGACUUCCACUACAGCAUGCAAGGUACUCCAUCCAUUGAAUAUCCAAGAAUCUUAUUUGGAAAAAAACAUGACAUAGUGGGGAGGUAAGAAGAGGUCUGGAGAAAAGUGGAGUGGGAUUGACUUUUCCCUGUCUCUUGUAAUACAGGCAUAAAGGGUAUAGGAAGAAGUUAGUAAGACCUUCAUUCAGAAUAAACCAGAGGAACCAGUUCUUCAGACACUUCUAUAAGGACCUGUGGUCAUCCUCCUCAAAUGACUUUCUGGAUCAAGGAUUUUAUAAAGCAGCAAAAAUAGACUGGAAAAAACCUUGAAAGAGAUGCUGUGGAGUCCACUAACUAGAUAAAUCACAUAACAUGACCCAAAAAUGUUUGAAGGCUGGGAGGCAGUAUGUGCUUACUCUGUUCUGGUUUUUCCUAGGGGUUCACUCCCAUGGUUAAUGUGGGAGAUGGACCUGUGGUCUGAACCGACACGUAAGUUCAAAUGUCACCUUGUCCUUGCACACUAAAGUCAGAAUUAAAUAAAUGAAGAUAUUAACAGCUUACAUAUAUUUAUAGCUUUCAAGUUCCCUAAAUAAGCGUAAUGUUAUGAAAAUUUAGGAUCAGAAGAAACUUUAAGAAGUCACCUAAUCCACCGCUUUGUUCCGUGGCAAAAUCAAUUACAGUCCUUAGUGACAAAUUUGUGCAACCUGUUCCUAAAGCUUUCAGUGAUGGAGAAUCAAGGGCCUCCAUAAGUAAUCUAUUUAAAGGCUCACUAUGAGAAGGAUUUUUUUCCCUGUAUAAUGGGAAUCUAAUCAGCUGUUGUUUGCUGUAAACCAUUAGUUAGCUGCAAGGUAAGAUGAGGGGCGUCCUACAUUUCUGAUGAAUGUUGUCCAGUAACUUUAGUGACUCUGGAAAUAGCCUGAACAUAGGCUUGGUUUUUAAUGUAGCUAGUAAUUACUGGAGUUUGUAUUUUGGUUAAUAUGACCAAGCAUGACCAGGGAUCUAUUCUGUAUCCUUUCAGAGUUUUAAGGUCAUUCUAAUGUUUUAUCUCUUCAGCAUUUUCUGGCUUCAGGUAAACUUUCCUUGAGCAGUGCUUUCUUAAACCCAGCAUGUUUUGACUUUGCUGCAACAAAGGCUGUUUGAAAGGUGUGUCUACAGAAAAAGUGGGACAAAAAGAUUUCUUUUAAAACAUUACUGAAAACCAGCAUGUAGUAUUUUCUUUCUUUCCUGUAAGGUCUAAUUUCUGGUUUUGCCUGUAAUUCACUGAAUUGUAUGUGUUCAAGAUUAAAUGUUUGAGCUGUCUUAAGUGAUGCUGCUCUGUUCAUGCAAACUGCUUCUUGAAGAUGAUUGUUAAUUGAGUUCCCUGUUUUCCAGGUAUCUGAUUUGAGAAGAGGGUUAUGCCUAGCAGAAAUGCUAAGUACCUACAGAUUCCACUGAAUUUGAUGUGGGUAGCUCUUAAGUCUUUCAAAAAAAUCAGCUCAAAUGAGGCAUUUUAGCAAAACUUUUUAAGCUUAAUUCCUUUGUUCCGAGUUUCCACUCUCUAAUGUAAGAGCACUGUCUUCGCACUUGCAAUUAAUUGUGAAAAUCAAUCUGUUGGUACAUGUGAAACACUCUGGAGCAGUGGUGGUGGUGAUUUUGAGGAAAUGAAUGUCUGUGAACGGGGUUUGAUUUAGUAAAUAGAUAUGAGGUGAUACGUGGAGCUAAAAGGAAAAAAAUGUAUUAGCUGCUCACUGGUGAGCACUGACAGUUCAGUGCACAGAAUGAUGCAAACAUCCUGUGGAAAAAUAGUGUGUAAGGGUGUAUUUGAAGACUUCAUCAUACUGUGGAUUGCACAAGGAAGCCAACUAAAGAUUGCACAAGCACUUUGAUUUUGGUGGUUUUAAGCUCAUUGCGAGACUACAACGUCCAUGAUUUAAAUAAUAGGCUUAAAUAAAGGUUUGUAAAUGCAAGUGAUAUAGAUGUGUAUUUGUAGAUUGUAAACUCUAGCAGUUUCAAUGAAACAACGCUGUUGUCAGUCAGCACAUUGGCACAGGGAGGAAAAUACCAUAUUUCUCUUGAAGACUGAAUUUAUACUGUCUUACAAAAAAUUACCACUGUGGGAAAAUUACCCUUUAUUUCUGUUUCCCUGAAAUUUAAGAACUUUAAAAAAAAAUGUUCCCAUUUGAAUAUUGAACUUGAAUGGUUAUGCCAAGAAUCGCAGAAGAAGCAUCAGUUUCCCAUAUGAAGGAACAUGAUCAUGUUCACUCUGAAAUUCUUAUAAAUGGCUGGCAUGGAAACAGGAAUUGCCUUGGAGGGAAAAAAAAAUUAAAAAAUCCCUUGACUACUUCCCCAUCACCAAAGUUGGGCAUUUAAUUUUAUUGAUGGGGAAUUUCUUGUUAGCCCUGUGAAUUCAGGCCACAUUGAAAUGGGGCAGUCAUUGGUGAGAAGCACUGGGCUACUCCGUAUAAGAAUGGCUAAAGGAAUUUAAGUUCCUUCAUGAGUAUUUCUAAUGAAAGCUGCAAGGAACCACCAGAAUCAUCACUCUGGGAUUUUUCCAAGUGCCUUUCUUCUCGUUCUAUCCUCUCCACUCCCCUGCCUCCUCCAUUACAACCCAGUUUUCUCUUGAGAUCAGUGCGACAGAUCAAAGGCUGAGAUGGGGCCUUUGCCUGAGUGAUGAUUUUCCUUUCCCCCUUCAAGCUCUCUGCUAGAUCUCUCCGUGCAUAUCUCCUACAGCUGCUAGCUUCAGAACUAGAUUUUCAACUUAACAGGAAGAUAUACUGUGGCAUAUCAGGAUUAAUUAUAUGAAUUCUUCCUAAACUAGAAUGUAUUUCAAUAACACUAAUCUGACAGGACAGUGCGUCGGUAACAGUGCUCAUUUAUGGCAUUCACUUUUUUUUUUAAUGUUCUUGUUGUGACCUAUGUGUAAUUAGAACAGGAGAGAACAAGUACACAUUUUGCAUUCCUUCCCCUUAUUUUUCCAGCCCUCGUUCAGCAGAGUACUCAGGUGUGUGUGUGUAUAUCUCAAUCCACGUGCCUGUCCUGCUAUAAUAUCUGCUGAAUUGGAGCUUUCGGUGGUGUUCACAACUGGGAAAAUUUUGUAAAAAUUCUGAUUUGGAUUCCCCAUGUUCUACAAAUUGAAAUGUACAAGCUGGAAAGUGUGUUUAGAGUGUGUUUUGGGUUUGUUUGUGUUUACACAUAGCAAUCACUCCUCUUCCUGCAAUGCCUUAAAUCUCCACCUUUUGCAAUUUGAACUUGCUUUCUGAUUUUCUUUGUUGCUUCCCGUUCUUUCCUUUAUUGUUCUGAUGUUCCUCUGCAGCCUUUAUGAUUUUUUUCUUAACUAUUUAGAGCAACAUCUUUUGCUCCAGAGUCGGUUCAUCCCUUGAAGAAUUCCUACAGCUCUGGAUGUUCUGACAGCCGUAGCUUGUGGCCACUGCAGCUGUCAUGAGAAUUUUUGCCAUGCUGCAGUUGGAUUUCACAGAUACAUUCAUUCCUGGAGCUUGUGGGGUUUUUUGUUUUCAAUCAACCCUCAACUAUGUGGCUUUGCUUUAACUGCUCUCCAAAUGACAUUAUUAUUCUUUUUUUGACUGUGGAUGUAUUUAAGUGCUUGUGGUAGUAACUGAAGCACAUCUGAUUUGCUCGUUCCAAGAGAACCUUCAGCAGAAAUCUUCUGAAACUGUUUCCAAUAUGUAAGAAAGCUGCUUCUUGCAGACCCAAAAGGUGUGUUAGCUGGGUUUCAAAGUUAUUCAGUGAACACAUUGCCUCUAGGUUCGCCUUCCAGCAGGUGCCUGUGUCACCACGUCAUCCAUAGAUUUAGACAUAAAACAUUUAAUUAGAGUAGGAGCUUUCAGAAAGGUUUCCACCCAGGUGGCCACUCUGAAGGUUAAUCUGUUGCCCAGGAUGGUCUGACACUUGCUGCUACAACGAUUGCAGUUUCCAACCUGAUUGGCAGUGCCAGGACCUAAAGUGUGGUUUCUAAUAGAGUGGGAUUCCUAUUUAUCCUCACGGGGAUAUUUUUCAUGUUGCCCAUCUACUGGAUAACCCCCUGGCUCAGCUGACCAAAGGGAAGUGCUAUGUUGCUCUGCAAAGACUUAUUUUCUGUAUUAUUUAGGGAGCUCCUCCCACUAAUAUGACUAGCUAGAUUAUCCGUGAGGCUCUACUUGUUCUGAAACCACUAUUGAUUAAAUGCUGAGAUGAAAUUUUUUUUUAGAAACUGUCAUUGGAACAUGCUUAGGCUGCACUUGCUGUCAGCUUAACAGUCAUGUUUCUGUGUCUUCCUCUAAAUUCCUCUCCCAGCUGGGCUCUUUCAUAUCUUAGCAUUAAAAUAGUUUCUUCCUAAUUAGACAGAUCUCUGUCAUGAUAAUCAUCUUGAGAACGUAUGCUGUAUUUUCAUACCGCGUAUCUUUUCACAGAUCAGGCCUGUGCUUUAUAAUUUUUUUCAAAAUCAUAACUCAGUGAAUAGAUCCUUUGCCAAGCAAUCAUCUCCAGUAACUAGUAAUUAGUGUCCUGUCAGCUGAUAUCGGUAGGCAUUAGUGUUCAACUGCUGGCAUCAGCAAGUUCAUCUUACAUCAUUUAGAAUUCUGAUAUAUUUGAUACUUUUCAAAUUCCAGUUGUGAAGAUAAUUUUUUAAAGCUGAUGUGCAGACAGGGGGGAAAAAAGGUAUACAGCAAAUAUACACAUUUGUGCAUGCAAAGUAAAUUACCACGGAAGAGGUGAGUGUUUUUAAGUUCAUGGUCAUAAAUGUAAGUGCACACCUCGAUCACAAGUGAGACUGUGCUUCUGACCACAGAACAGAGUUGUUUGGUGAAGGUUGUGAAGAACAUCUGCUUUAAUGACAAUAAUCAGUAGUUAGAAUGAAACUGAGAUCUCUCUAUUUCUCACACUGCCCAGGCUAUAAUCUGAGGGAUUUUUUCCUGUUUUUAUUUAUUCAGACUCAGAGGCUUAGCAGAAGUGUUGUCCUUCACAAAAAUUAAAUUAAAUAGUUCACUAAAUAGCUCAUUUUACUUUCAGCUUUCAGAAGCUGGUAAUUGUUUAUGUAAGUGUCCUUAAAAUAAAUGAUGCAAAAAUGAA